rnacentral:rRNA from 1 species
AACGAACGCUGGCGGCAUGCCUAAUACAUGCAAGUCGAACGAAGGCUUCGGCCUUAGUGGCGCACGGGUGCGUAACGCGUGGGAAUCUACCCUUGGGUUCGGGAAUAACAGUUAGAAAUAGACUGCUAAUACCGGAUGAUGACGUAAGUCCAAAGAUUUAUCGCCCAAGGAUGAGCCCGCGUAAGAUUAGCUAGUUGGUGAGGUAAAGGCUCACCAAGGCUACGAUCUUUAGCUGGUCUGAGAGGAUGAUCAGCCACACUGGGACUGAGACACGGCCCAGACUCCUACGGGAGGCAGCAGUAGGGAAUAUUGGACAAUGGGCGAAAGCCUGAUCCAGCAAUGCCGCGUGAGUGAUGAAGGCCUUAGGGUUGUAAAGACUCUUUUACCCGUACGAUGAUAAUAGACAGUACCGGGAGGAAUAAAGACUCCGGCUAACUCCGUGCCAGCAGCCGCGGUAAAGUACAGUGU